GACGAGUGGCGAACUGGUGAGUAACACGUGGGUAACCUGCCCUUGAAGUAGGGGAUAACACUUGGAAACAGGUGCUAAUACCGUAUAACAACCAAAACCACCUGGUUUUGGUUUAAAAGACGGCUUCGGCUGUCACUUUAGGAUGGACCCGCGGCGUAUUAGCUUGUUGGUAAGGUAACGGCCUACCAAGGCGAUGAUACGUAGCCGACCUGAGAGGGUAAUCGGCCACAUUGGGACUGAGACACGGCCCAAACUCCUACGGGAGGCAGCAGUAGGGAAUCUUCCACAAUGGACGAAAGUCUGAUGGAGCAACGCCGCGUGAGUGAUGAAGGGUUUCGGCUCGUAAAACUCUGUUGUUGGAGAAGAACAGGUGUCAGAGUAACUGUUGACAUCUUGACGGUAUCCAACCAGAAAGCCACGGCUAACUACGUGCCAGCAGCCGCGGUAAUACGUAGGUGGCAAGCGUUGUCCGGAUUUAUUGGGCGUAAAGCGAGCGCAGGCGGUUUUUUAGGUCUGAUGUGAAAGCCUUCGGCUUAACCGGAGAAGUGCAUCGGAAACCGGGAGACUUGAGUGCAGAAGAGGACAGUGGAACUCCAUGUGUAGCGGUGAAAUGCGUAGAUAUAUGGAAGAACACCAGUGGCGAAGGCGGCUGUCUGGUCUGUAACUGAC
rnacentral:rRNA from 1 species